AGAGUUUGAUCCUGGCUCAGAAUGAACGUUUGCGGUGCGCUUUAUGCAUGCAAGUCGAACGGAGUUGUAGUUUUCGGACUGCAAUUUAGUGGCGGACGGCUGAGUAACACGCAAGCAACUUGCCUCGGAGUGGGGGAUAAUCUAUCGAAAGACAGACUAAUACCGCAUAUGGUAAUUAGGCGCAGGCUUAGUUAUCAAAGCUGCAAAGCGCUCUGAGAGAGGCUUGUGUCCGAUUAGCUAGUUGGCAGGGUAACGGCCUACCAAGGCGAUGAUCGGUAGCUGGUCUAAGAGGAUGGUCAGCCAGAUGGGGACUGAGACACGGCCCCAACUCCUACGGGAGGCAGCAGCAGGGAAUUUUGGGCAAUGGGCGAAAGCCUGACCCAGCGACACCGCGUGAGGGAAGAAGGCCCUAGGGUCGUAAACCUCUUUUCUUGAGGAAGAAUUAUGACGGUACUCAAGGAAUAAGUCUCGGCAAACUACGUGCCAGCAGCCGCGGUAAUACGUAGGAGGCAAACGUUAUUCGGAUUUACUGGGCGUAAAGGGGGUGUAGGCGGCGCCUUAAGUCAGAUGUGAAAUCUUUUGACUCAAUCAAAAGCGGUCAUGUGAUACUGAGGUGCUUGAGGGCAGCAGAAGGAAACGGAAUUCCCGGUGUAGCGGUGAAAUGCGUGGAUAUCGGGAAGAACACCAGUGGCGAAGGCGGUUUCCUAGGCUGUUUCUGACGCUGAGGCCCGAAAGCGUGGGGAGCGAUGCGGAUUAGAUACCCGCGUAGUCCACGCCCUAAACGGUGGACACUAGACAUGGGAGGUAUCGACCCCUUUCGUGUCGUAGCUAACGCGUUAAGUGUCCCGCCUGGGGAGUACGGUCGCAAGACUAAAACUCAAAGGAAUUGACGGGGGCCCGCACAAGCAGCGGAGCGUGUGGUUUAAUUCGAUGCUACACGAAGAACCUUACCAGGAUUUGACAUGCUAGGAGUAGGAAUCUGAAAGGAGGACGACCUGUAUCCAGUCAGGAACUAGCACAGGUGCUGCAUGGCUGUCGUCAGCUCGUGCCGUGAGGUGUUGGGUUAAGUCCCGCAACGAGCGCAACCCUUGUCUUGUGUUGAAUUCUCACAAGAGACUGCCUUGUACAGCAAGGAGGAAGGAGAGGAUGACGUCAAGUCAGCAUGGCCUUUAUGUCCUGGGCUACACACACGCUACAAUGGGCGCUACAGAGGGUUGCCAAGGAGCGAUCCGGAGCUAAUCUCACAAAAGCGUCCUCAGUUCGGAUUGCAGGCUGAAAUCGCCUGCAUGAAGGUGGAGUUGCUAGUAACUGCAGGUCAGCUAUACUGCGGUGAAUACGUUCUCGGGCCUUGCACACACCG
rnacentral:rRNA from 1 species